CAAAGGUAGCAUAAUCAAUAGUCUUUUAAUUGGGGGCUUGAAUGAAAGGUUUGACGGAAAGAGGACUGUCUCUUUUGUUUAUUUUGAAUUUAACAUUUGUGUGAAAAGGCAUUAAUGUUUUAGUGGGACGAUAAGACCCUAUAAAACUUGACAUGUAUUAUGUUAUCUUUUAUAAUUGUUUAUUAGUUAUUAGAUGACUAGUUGUGUUUUGCUGGGGCGGCAUGAAUAUAAUUUGUAACUGUUUGUUUAGAUGAAAUAUGUGUUUAUAGAUUUUGGUCCUUUAUUAGAGAGAUAAGAGUAAGUUACUUUAGGGAUAACAGCAUAAUUUUUCUUGAGAGUCCCUAUCGAAGGAAGUAGUUGUGACCUCGAUGUUGAAUUAAAUUUU
rnacentral:rRNA from 1 species